CCUACGGGGGGCUGCAGUGGGGAAUAUUGGACAAUGGGGGGAACCCUGAUCCAGCCAUGCCGCGUGUGUGAAGAAGGCCCUCGGGUUGUAAAGCACUUUCAGUGAGGAAGAACGCCUGGUGGUUAAUACCCAUCAGGAAAGACAUCACUCACAGAAGAAGCACCGGCUAACUCCGUGCCAGUAGCCGCGGUAAUACGGAGGGUGCGAGCGUUAAUCGGAAUUACUGGGCGUAAAGCGCGCGUAGGUGGCUUGAUAAGCCGGUUGUGAAAGCCCCGGGCUCAACCUGGGAACGGCAUCCGGAACUGUCAAGCUAGAGUGCAGGAGAGGAAGGUAGAAUUCCCGGUGUAGCGGUGAAAUGCGUAGAGAUCGGGAGGAAUACCAGUGGCGAAGGCGGCCUUCUGGACUGACACUGACACUGAGGUGCGAAAGCGUGGGUAGCAAACAGGAUUAGAUACCCCGGUAGUC
rnacentral:rRNA from 1 species